UACGUAGGGUGCAAGCGUUGUCCGGAAUUAUUGGGCGUAAAGAGCUCGUAGGCGGUUUGUCGCGUCUGCUGUGAAAACUCGGGGCUUAACCCCGGCCUGCAGUGGGUACGGGCAGACUAGAGUGCGGUAGGGGAGACUGGAAUUCCUGGUGUAGCGGUGAAAUGCGCAGAUAUCAGGAGGAACACCGGUGGCGAAGGCGGGUCUCUGGGCCACUACUGACGCUGAGAAGCGAAAGCAUGGGGAGCGAACAGG
rnacentral:rRNA from 1 species